GUAAUUUUGAUUUCGAUGGGUGACUGGGAAACGGAUACAUAUGGCAGCACGCUAAGUUUCAUCGCCUCGAUUCUGCUGGUUCUUUCGAAGCGAAAUUUCAGUGCCGGCUUUCGAUCCCAGAGACUGGUAGAAUCCAUGGCCUCCUCUAAGCUUCUGAUGCAUAAGCAAUUCAGGAAGAAGAUGGUGGAAUCGGUUGCGGUUCGGGCUCCUCCGAAGCCUUGUUCGAGAAACCCUAUCGAUUCCUCCUCUUGUCAUCACUUAUCCGAUUCUUCGCAGUCUUUGAUUCAAAACUACUCCAAUUUCAAGGCCAGUGGUUUGCCUUCUCGUUUCAUGUUCUAUCAGGAUAGGUUGUGGGUUGAUUUCGAUAAUCGAGUGAUUGGAAUAUUGCGAGCGGGUUUCUCCGACCGGAAUCCGGCGAUUGAACUGGAAAUCGAUGGAUCGACGUAUCUGUUUGAUAUGUAUAGGAUGUUACAGAUUGAUUUGGAAACUGGUAGACAGAGAUCGGUUGCUUGGAUCGAUGAAAAUGGGAAGUGUUUUUUCCCCAAAGUCUUUAUCGGCGAUGAGAGUGAGGGAAAUACUCGGAGUUUGUCGAAUCCGAAAAUUGAAAUUGAGAUUAAGAUUGAUCGGAAGUCCGGGAAACGAAAGAGGGAAGCGAUGGAGAUGGAGGAGGAAGAAAAUGAAGUGAAUUCCAGCAAUGAACAUGUGGAAGUGAAGCCAUUGAAAAUACCGCGUGUUGUUGCGAAUGAUUCAGAAGCUCAUGUAUGGCCGAAGGCGAAGGCGCUGAGUGAAGGAGAUAGUGCGUACACGUUAGUAAGCAAUUUCUUUCUCCCUUCAAUGAAAAAGGUUGAUCCCAGUUCUGCAAUCACCUCAAUUCAUCAGUGCACCCGCACGGGGCCAUUGGAAAAAGCUCGCCUCGAUGUGUUUCAAAAGCAGAAUGAGAUUACAACGGCUGCCCGUGGUGUGUCCAAUAUGGUUUAUGCAUGGUAUGGAGCUUCUGCAACAAGUUUGGCGGGAAUUUUGGCUCAUGGAUUUGGGGAGCCUCUUCAGGUGCCUGCCGCCGAUACUCAUGGAAUUGGAGUUUACUUAUCUCCAUUGGGCUUGCCUCAUUUAUGUUCUACGCUAUCAGAGGUCGAUGAGGAUGGUAUAAAACAUAUGGUUUUAUGUCGAGUAAUAUUGGGUAAUGUUGAAAAGGUUGAAGCAGGAUCUCAGCAAUCCCAUCCGUCGAGUACAGAGUUUGACACUGGUGUGGAUGAUCCAACAUGUCCUAAACGGUAUAUUGUCUGGUGUAGUAAUAUGAACAGACACAUUUUACCAGAGUACAUAGUGAGUUUCAGAUCAAAUUAUCGUUUGCCAGGUAAGUUGGGGGAAUCGACAGAUACGAAGUAUUCCCUCGUGAAAUUACUUUCGAAGAUGAAGAAUUCGCUGCCUACCUCUAAAGUUCAAGAGGUUGCGACAUUGUUUCAGACAUUUAAGGCAGGAAAAUUGGGAAAAGAUGUUCUUGUUAAAAGGCUGCGAUCAAUUGCUGGAGAUGACAUGCUUCUAUCCUUAAUUCGUGAAAUUCGAGAAUGUCAAUGAGGCUGGAAAGAUGGCGACAGAUUGUUGAGACUGGUGUCCGGGCCAGUUAUCUGGAUGACAGAUCUUUAGCAGAAAAUAUUUGCAUUCAGAGGUGGGUUAAUGUUCAGUUCUAUAUAAUUUUGGCACCAUCCAUGAUUUCAUUAUCUCUUUGCUAGUGCUGACCCUGUAUGAUUUGUAUUUUUUUAUUGUGAUACUUUGUGUUUAUUACCUGGUAAGGUAGCUGAUGAAGUUGAUUGUGUAUAAGGAACUUUUUGUCAAGGGCAAGAUGAAGAAAAAUUCUUGCUUUGUGAGGGUAGAGCUCUUGGAUUCCUGAAUCUUGUUGUGAAAUUUCUUGCGAAUCUGAUCUUAUCAUUGGAUACAGAGAAUUCAUGCUGCAACACGUUGCGAAGGAGGUUUUGUGUUACUUAUCUUACCUUGUUACUAGGUGCCAGGAUUACAGAUGUUUCUCACAGAGUUGACCAUUUUAUUGAUCAAGAGUCGAGCACGAGUCUAGUGACCGAAGAAUUUAGGGAGUGAAUAUUCUUAUUACAUAUUGAAGAUGUUUGUUAUUUAUCAAGUCAAAGAUCUUUAAUCUCUCUGGAUGAUAAAUGUUCAUUCUCAAGCUGAUGCUCUCUGGGAGUGGGGGGACUCCAAGGUGCCAUUGGUGCUGGCUCGAAACAUGUGUAGAUUCCCCAGCAAGCGUUCAUCACGGAUUGGAGAACGAAGGAGACCCGAAAGUUGGCUCUUCUGAAUUUCAAGGGGCCAGAGAUUUGAAUUCUCUCCAUUGAAGCAUUUGGUUCUAACAGAGGACAUAAGAAGUGUUCCAAGAUUCCAGAUGUUCUUGAUGUAUUUGUUUUCCAAUCUUCUCCGCUUUUCUCCUUUCCACAUUCUUACGCAAAAUUAUUCAAGAAUAUGAACCUAUUGGAAAGAAGAGUGGCUUGAUAACGACUUUACUUUAGAGCA